UAUCCAGAACUAGAGGGCACAGCCUCAAAAUUGAGGGACGACCUUUUAGAACAGAGAUAAAGAGGAUUUUUUUUUUUAUCCAGAGAGUAGUAAAUCUGUAGAAUGUUCUGCUACAGACUGUGGUGGACGCCAAGUCCGUGGGUAUACUUAAGGUGGAAGUUGGUCGUUUCUUGAUCAGUCAGGACAUCAAAGGAUAUGGUGAGAAGGUCAAGAAUUCCGACUGAAAUGACGAGUACUAUGAUCAUGAGCAUAAUGUGGGGAUACAGAUGACCGCCACCCCCCCAACAUUACAACCAUUUGGGUUAAGGGAACAGGCUCAACAGAAUUCACUAAUCACCAUCUAAAAUCUGAGAAAAAUCAAGAUGCUGUCUAGUUUCUACGAGCUCAACCGCUCCGUAAAAUGGUGAUUGUCUAUAAAAGAAUUUCAGGGUGUACAUUGUAUACAUUUCUUUGGCAUUAAAUACACCUAUUGAACCUA